AGCUUUGCGCAGUGGCAGUAUCGUAGCCAAUGAGGUUUAUCCAAGGCAUGAUUAUUGCUAAUUGAUAAUUAUGGGGUGCAGAAGGUGGAAGGUGGAAAGUGUAACUUCUGUAACUGCUUCCCCACUGAACGUGGGUGUUGGCA